CAUGUCAGCACUCCCAUGUCAGCACACAGCUGGGUCUAGCCCAAGAUAAGAAUCAGUACAGGGGAGGGAACAAAGUGGCACCAGCUCAGGAGCAAAUCCAGCCUCAAGUCUGGAGGCAGAACGCACAAUAGGGGAGAGAAGAAGCACUGCUGACUCCUUUGAAGAGAUGACUUUGGUGCAGGAAACCGGAGUGAGUUGCCUUGGAAACCCAAACACUGAUGAUUUUUCUCUGCUGCAAUUUGGAUGCAUCUCACCAGGCCCACAAACAUGAUACAGUUCUGCAGUGACCUAGAAUCUGGCUUUCAACGUCUCCAAAUCAAAGAAUAUUUCCAACACACCUCUGAACAACAUACUAACCCACAGAAUCCUUCCUACCAGCACUACAAAAAAGAAGGAUUCUGCAUGGACUCCUCCUGAAGGUCGAAACAACAUACUGGACUUCUACAUAGAUUGCUUCUGUCGACAUGCAUGGGCUGAAAUUGUGGAAAAGCUCCAUCACUUGCCCCAUAACCUCAGCCGUGCUGAACACAACACCAUCAACAGCCUCAGGAACAACUCUGACAUCAUAAUCAAAAAGGCUGACAAAGGAGGUGCUGUCAUCAUCAUGAAUAAGUUGGAAUAUGAACAAGAGGCUGCUAGGCAGCUCUCUAACUCCCCAUUCUACAGGCCAUUAUCCUCUGAUCCCACUGAGGAUUACCAAAAGAAACUACACCAUCUGCUGAAGAAACUACUGAAAAAGCACAGGAACAGAUCUGUGCAGACACAUGCCUAGAACCCUGAGCAGGGUUAUUCUAUCUGCUACCCAAGUUCCAUAAACCUGGAAAUCCUGGACACCCCAUCAUCUCAGGCAUUGGCACCCUAACAGCAGGAUUGUCUGGCUAUGUGGACUCUCUCCUCAGGCCCUAUGCUACCAACACUCCCAGUUAUCUUCAAGACACCACUGACUUCCUGAGGAAGCUACAAUCCAUUGCAAAAAGAAAAGGAGUACCUGUGGCACCUUAGAGA